GGGCGUGUAGCUCAGCUAGGUAGAGCGUCGGGCUUUUAACCCGCAGGCCGUGGGUUCGAAUCCCUCCACGCUCA
rnacentral:tRNA from 1 species